GAGCGGAACGAUCCUAGCUUGCUAGGAGGCGUCGAGCGGCGGACGGGUGAGUAAUGCAUAGGAAUCUGCCCGAUAGUGGGGGAUAACCUGGGGAAACUCAGGCUAAUACCGCAUACGUCCUACGGGAGAAAGCAGGGGAUCUUCGGACCUUGCGCUAUCGGAUGAGCCUAUGUCGGAUUAGCUUGUUGGUGAGGUAAUGGCUCACCAAGGCGACGAUCCGUAGCUGGUCUGAGAGGAUGAUCAGCCACAUCGGGACUGAGACACGGCCCGAACUCCUACGGGAGGCAGCAGUGGGGAAUAUUGGACAAUGGGCGAAAGCCUGAUCCAGCCAUGCCGCGUGUGUGAAGAAGGCUUUCGGGUUGUAAAGCACUUUCAGUGAGGAAGAAAGCCUUGGGGCUAAUACCCCCAAGGGACGACAUCACUCACAGAAGAAGCACCGGCUAACUCCGUGCCAGCAGCCGCGGUAAUACGGAGGGUGCGAGCGUUAAUCGGAAUUACUGGGCGUAAAGCUAAAUUCCCGGUGUAGCGGUGAAAUGCGUAGAGAUCGGGAGGAAUACCAGUGGCGAAGGCGGCUUCUGACUGACACUGACGCUGAGGUGCGAAAGCGUGGGUAGCAAACAGGAUUAGAUACCUGGUAGUCACGCCGUAAACGAUGUCGACUAGCCGUUGGGGUCCUAGAGACCUUUGUGGCGCAGUUAACGCGAUAAGUCGACCGCCUGGGGAGUACGGCCGCAAGGUUAAAACUCAAAUGAAUUGACGGGGGCCCGCACAAGCGGUGGAGCAUGUGGUUUAAUUCGAUGCAACGCGAAGAACCUUACCUACCCUUGACAUCGUGCGAACUUUCCAGAGAUGGAUUGGUGCCUUCGGGAACGCACAGACAGGUGCUGCAUGGCUGUCGUCAGCUCGUGUUGUGAAAUGUUGGGUUAAGUCCCGUAACGAGCGCAACCCUUGUCCCUAUUUGCCAGCGAUUCGGUCGGGAACUCUAGGGAGACUGCCGGUGACAAACCGGAGGAAGGUGGGGACGACGUCAAGUCAUCAUGGCCCUUACGGGUAGGGCUACACACGUGCUACAAUGGCCGGUACAAUGGGUUGCAAAGCCGCGAGGUGGAGCUAAUCCCACAAAGCCGGUCUCAGUCCGGAUCGGAGUCUGCAACUCGACUCCGUGAAGUCGGAAUCGCUAGUAAUCGUGAAUCAGAAUGUCACGGUGAAUACGUUCCCGGGCCUUGUACACACCGCCCGUCACACCAUGGGAGUGGACUGCACCAGAAGUGGUUAGCCUAACUUCGGAGGGCGAUCACCUACGG
rnacentral:rRNA from 1 species